AACGAACGCUGGCGGUAUGCUUAACACAUGCAAGUCGAACGGGUGUAGCAAUACAUCAGUGGCAAACGGGUGAGUAAUACAGAGGAAUCUACCUAGCAGUAAGGAAUAACUCUGAGAAAUCAGAGCUAAUACCAUAUAUUACCCUUCGGGGGAAAGAUUUAUCGCUGGUAGAUGAGCCUCUGCCGGAUUAGCUAGUUGGUAGGGUAAUGGCCUACCAAGGCAAUGAUCCGUAGCUGGUCUGAGAGGAUGAUCAGCCACACUGGAACUGAGACACGGUCCAGACUCCUACGGGAGGCAGCAGAGGGGAAUAGUGGACAAUGGGCGCAAGCCUGAUCCAGCAAUGCCGCGUGAGUGAUGAAGGGCUUCGUAUUGUAAAGCUCUUUUAGUAGAGAAGAUAAUGACGGUAUCUACAGAAAAAGCACCGGCUAACUUCGUGCCAGCAGCCGCAGUAA
rnacentral:rRNA from 1 species